GGAGAUGUAGCUCAGUGACAGAGCACUUGCCUGGCAUGCACAAGGCCUUGGGUUCAAUCUCCAGCACUGCCA
rnacentral:tRNA from 1 species